UACAGAGGCCACGAGCGUUAGGCGGAAUCACUGGGCUUAAAGCGUGUGUAGGUGGAUCGGUAAGUACCUUGUGAAAUCCCACGACUCAAUCGCGGAACUGCUUGGUAUACUGCCAGUCUUGAGGCACUCAGGGGCGAGCGGAACAGAUGGUGGAGCGGUGAAAUGCGUAGAUAUCAUCUGGAACGCCAAUGGUGAAGACAGCUCGCUGGGGGGUGUUCUGACACUGAGACACGAAAGCCAGGGGAGCAAACGGG
rnacentral:rRNA from 1 species